GGGCUCGUAGCUCAGCUGGUCAGAGCGCACGCCUGAUAAGCGUGAGGUCGGUGGUUCGAGUCCACCCGAGCCCACCA
rnacentral:tRNA from 4 species